rnacentral:lncRNA from 10 species
UAGGAUCAUCCGUCAAUGCCAGCAAGUGAAGAUACAGAUUUCCUGAGCUUCUGGCAAAACUCGGUGGCUGAAAGCACACACCUGUUCCAAGGAGGGUCUGCCAGGCUAUUUCAAAGAAGAAGGACUUUGAAGUGUUGAGGUAGGAGCCUGUAUCAUCUCUUUGCUGGUUUGCAGUUGCUGUGUUCCACCAGCAAGUAGCAAUUGGGACUAAAUUACCAGCAUUCAAGGAAUGUGCUCACAUAUUUCAGAGCUGUUGAGAAACAUUUGGCUGGACAAAGUCGAGUUCAAACAAGCUAUAAACCAAACCAGGGUUUGGUUUAGGACAUCCCCCCAGAAGCAAGAAACUGAAAUGGUGACGGGGAGACACAAAACGCACAAAUCAAGUUGAAGCAGAGGGUUGCCUUCUCACCAAGUCCUUGUAGGGAUAAGGCCGGACUGACAAUAACAGAGUAAGGCCAGCGCUCUCAGCAUAGACGUAUAUACUCUACUCCUCGCUUGGAAAAACUUUGGAGUCCCAUCCGAAUGGAAGGAUGUCAGCUUCAGGAGUUCAGGGAAUUUUGUCAGCUUGGUUCACUG